UUUGAUUUUGAGCUCACUAUCACAGCUGGCUGACUCGGUGUUGUUCUGGAAGGAGAAGGAGCGCUGGUAAAAGUUACACUCCCUUCAUUUUAUAAUGUAGUAUGCUCGUGCUGUUUGCAAGCUAAAUUUAAUCAUAUAUUUAAUAAACAAAACCGAUGCAAAUUCAGUGAUAUAACUUUUGCUUCCGUCGCAGUUGGUCUUGUUGUUUAAUUUAUGGUCAAACUUACAUCACGAAAAACAGGGACGCAGUGUAUUGUGAAAUGGAGCAUUUUCAGACACAUAAGGAUUUCAACUAGGUUUAAUGUAUGUGUCCCCAAAAUGGUUGACAUUUUCGAACCGGGCUCCUUCCCUUUCCAUUAUAAAGCAUAACGAAAAUACAAUGUCUUUUUUCUGAACCAGAAACAGAGAAGGGAAAGGAAAGAAGCGAGUUCGAGACAAUAUCAGAAAACCCAUCGUUUGCGCUUGUCAUCAGAAACACAGACUAUGAGACGAAAACCUGAAGUAUCAUCCAAAACCGUCCAAAACAAAAAAAACUUUAAACACACAUAAUACCGCAAAAGACUCUAACAGUCCAACACAACCCAACAUCAAGCAUUAACAGAGCCCUCUGGAUCAUCAGGCUGACAGAAGCAAGCCAACAAAACACCUUAACUCCAUCUCUGCUCUAAUCAGCAGCACCAGCAUUACCAGAUCACCACUCCUCCCACCUAUCUCCUUCAUCAGCAUUCUCACUUGUUUCUGGCAUUGAU
rnacentral:lncRNA from 1 species